rnacentral:rRNA from 1 species
GUGAGGAAUAUUGGUCAAUGGGCGGGAGCCUGAACCAGCCAAGUCGCGUGAAGGAAGAAGGAUCUAUGGUUCGUAAACUUCUUUUGCAGGGGAAUAAAGUGCAGGACGUGUCCUGUUUUGUAUGUACCCUGAGAAUAAGGAUCGGCUAACUCCGUGCCAGCAGCCGCGGUAAUACGGAGGCUCCGAGCGUUAUCCGGAUUUAUUGGGUUUAAAGGGUGCGUAGGUGGUUUGAUAAGUCAGCGGUGAAAGUUUGCAACUUAACUGUAAAAAUGCCGUGGAAACUGGAGGACUUGAGUGUAAAUGAGGUAGGCUGAAUGAGUGGUGUAGCGGUGAAAUGCAUAGAUAGCACGCAGAACUCCGAUUGCGAAGGCAGCUUACUAAGCUACAACUGACACUGAAGCACGAAAGCGUGGGGAUCAAACAGGAUUAGAUACCCUUGUAGUCC